rnacentral:lncRNA from 1 species
CAGGCGCCCUCGGGACGCGCAGCUCCCUACGCCCCCGCGGGCUCGGGGAGGGGCUGGGGGGCGCGGGCACCGGCCCCCCCGGGGGGCUCUGGCUUCUGAGGAGUGGAGGGGCCGGCGGCUGUCGCAGCGUCGGAGCCACCCAGCGCCCGGGUGUCCCACGUGUGGCCCCAACCCGUCCAAUUCCCGAAGCCUUGGCGCCUGUGCGUUUGUUCUGCGGAGAAAAGCGGCACCGCCUGGUGGUUAGUGAAUGCUCGGGAGCCAUUGCGAGGAGGAAGCCGGCGUGUAGACGUCUCUGUGGCGCAAUCGGUUACACCGGGAGAAUAUGCAGGUCAGAUGACACUAAUGGAUGUUCCAGCACUUAAAGUCAUCCAACCAGACUCCCAAGAAAUCAUCAAGACUCCUUCAAGUCUGGCAGCAUCAACAAGACCUUGUCAUCUGACAGAAAAAUGUUUUCUAAUUUAUUAUGAACUAUAUAAGAUAUACAAAAAGGCAUAGGGAGCCACUGACUUGUACACUUAAAAGUGGUUAUAAUGGCAA